UCUUACCAAAACAUUCCAGUAUGUGAAGAAUAACACUUAACAACAUAACUGAUAUUGAAAAUGCUAAGCAAGUGCUGCUUUGUUUACGAUUUGUGUAUCUGUAUAUAUUGUGUAUAUCCUUGUUUCGAUUUCUUCUUUUGAAGAACGAAUAUAUGCUAAUGUUAGCUGCCAACCAAGUCCAUGAAAAACCACCUGUGUGCUGCCCCUAUCAACUACAGGACGCUUUCAUAUUAAAGAUCUGGUUUCGUACAUAACUUAGAAAUGUUGUGACAUUGUGUUGACCACCAGUCUUACGCCUUUUUAUGAUGAACACAACACUGUCAUCAAUUUUAAGCCCGCUAGAAGGUGUUUGUUGGAGGACAGUCUGCGACUGUCAGCUGCAGAACACACAGGUUAGUUUACAGUCGCUGUAUUCAGGUGCAGCUUUUUGUCCAGAUGCCGGCGACACAAGGCUCCAACGCCAUCGGCUUUUAUCACCACUAGUCCUUUGACGUGAGCUUGUUGUGUCUCAGCCUUAAGUGUCACACUAACAAAAAUCCAUUAGACAUUAGAAGAACACAGUCAUUAAUACAGGUGAAAAAACUAGAACCAACGUAGAACACAAAGCAGAAGCAAACGCUGAAAAGAGCUGGCCGUGAAAGAGGAAAAUGAAAAUGACAGAAAUUGUGUUCUUUAUCAUUUAGAAAGUGAUCAACUUUUACGAAGUCUGCAAGCAGUUACACCAACAGCUCUCACACAGUUAAAGACACACUCGAUGGACGUGAUUCUGGAUGCUGAUACGGCUCACCCACGUCUCAUCGUGUCCGAUGAUGGGAAACAAGCGAGGGAAGGAAAGAAGCGACCGGAAGCAGCGGUUGGAGAAAAAGAGCGAUUUAAAGAUUUCC